AGUCAGCCAGAUGGUCAGAUUAGGUUUGGUAUUUUUGUCUACCUAUCGAGUCUUCUUUUCUCCUCCUCCUUCCUCUUCUCCUCUUUUCUUCUUCUUCCCCCUCUUCCCCUCCUCCUCCUCCGACUUAUUGUAGCUAAAAUGGUGGCAAAGUGGCACUCAGGCCAAGCUGUCCUACCUCCAGAUGUUCCCAACUUGAGGUCAAUUGGUGGCCCCAAAACUUCGGCAUCUCUGCUCUUUCGAACAGGCACAAUUUCUUAUCCUUUGUUACUACUUUUUUUGCUGUUCUAGUGCCAUCUCCUUUCUAUUUGGAGCCUCUGGGGUUUUUUUUUAGAAAAAGGUAUGCUUUUUAAAACUAUAUAUAUAUAUAUAUAUAUAUAUAAAACCUUUCUACACGAAAGCUGGUCGACACUGUUGAAGUACUCUUCCCACAAAACCUAUUUCAUAGCCUAGACUUGUAUUUUGUCAUUUAAGCUCUGAGAAGGAGCGAUUCGGGAGUGAUAGAGUAAUUCAUUUGAAAAUGAAUUUUCAUUUUUCGGGGAGCCUUUUUGGCCCUGAGUAACCUAGAAGACCGGGAUCUUGGCAAUUGAGGGUCCCCGCAUUAAAGUAUACUGUCACUCUCCUUCCCACCUCCCGUGCAAAUCUACAAGUCGAACUAAUUUUGCUCCCAAAUAUGCUAAAACGUUGAGAAACACUGCUAUAGGCUAUACAUCCCUGUCCCUUAACCUCAGCAACUUGAAGCGAUGUGGGCUUCAACACCCAGAAUUCCCCAGCCAACUGGCUGAGGAAUUCUGGGAGUUGAAGUCUACCCCCGCUUCAAGUUGCUGAGGUUAAGAGACCCUGCUGUAAAUGAACUCUGUAUGCCUAAAAUAACACCACCAAUUUUUAAUGUCACUCUCCUAGUUUUGAAUGCGUCAAGGAGCCGUGUCCGAUUUCCACGGGAAAAAUGCCAAUUUAGAUGGUUCCACGUUUCCGAUACCCCGUCCCGUUCCUUUCUUCCUUUCCCUUGGCAAACUGACUUGUAAAUACCUUUAUGAACAUAAAAAAUAAUUUGUACUUGACUGUAGGAUCGGAAGGAUUUGUGUUGUAUCUUACCUGAAAGUGUAAUAAAAGUGUACAUUUUUAUAACGUUCUUGUAAUUGUGGUUACCUAAUGUGUGCUUUGUCUCCUCAGGCCUUCCUCACUAUGACAUUUAGGGAGAUGGAGCCUUAAAUCUUGAAAGUUUUUUAUUUUUAAAUCAAAAUAGGUCUGGCCUCCGCCACCUUAUCGUCCACGCGAUGUAAAAUUGUUCCGUUGUGUUGAAACUUUGCUAGCUCUGCACCGUUAAAAAACUAUGCAAUAUCCCAACUGGAUAUUCCCAUGUUUCCGCGUCAGCCUUGAGGGAUGUUUUAAAGAGAAGAAUUUUAAAAAUACAUGUCUCGUUUUCUCUG